rnacentral:lncRNA from 1 species
UGAUUAACAGAUUCUGAACUAUUAAAAAGUUAUAAGUUUUGAAUUUGAAUAAUACCAAAAACUAUUGGUUCAAAAUUAAAUUGCACCAAGUUGGACGAAACUUUUUUUAUAAAAAAAAAGAAAAAUCAAAGUAUGUGUUUGUGAAUAUAUAUAUAUAUAUAGAUAUAUAUUCAACAAAUAUACACGAUGGUUUGGGAAUCUGAUUCUAUAGAAGUAGCUUUGUUUUACGGAUCAUUUGUAUUGUGCUUACGUUUUUCUAACCUCCGCCAAAAACAAAAGGUUCCCUUUCCAAGAUCUUAGCCAAAAGAGAAUUCAACUUUCAUCCCAU